rnacentral:tRNA from 1 species
ACCUGGCUGGCUCAGUCGGUAAAGCAUGAGGCUCUUGAUCUCAGGGUCGUGAGUUUGAGCCCCACACUGGGUG